rnacentral:misc_RNA from 1 species
GAUGAAGAACGUAGCGAAAUGCGAUAAGUAGUGUGAAUUGCAGAAUUCCGUGAAUCAUCGAAUCUUUGAACGCACAUUGCGCCUUCUGGUAUUCCGGAAGGCAUGCCUGUUCGAGAGUCAUUAACAACCGUUUCGAUCCCUUUCUUUCAGAAAUUACAAAGAGGAAAAGGGUUUGGUUAUGGUGGAGGAGGGAAAGGGAGCGUUUAGCCUGUAAAAAAAGAGGCUGUGUUCCGCCUCCCCCCCAAAAUUGUACAGGCGGUCGUGUGCGCCCACGCAUCGAGGUGUUGUAAAAGCUGCCACGGCACUUUUCACCUGUGCAGUGCGAGAUUGGCCAGCCGGUUUAAAAACCCCUCCAAACAAUCAAAGGUUGACCUCGGAUCAGGUAGGGAUACCCGCUGAACUUAAGCAUAUCAAUAAGCGGUGGA